CAGCAGCCACGGUAACACGAAGGGGGCUAGCGUUGUUCGGAAUUACUGGGCGUAAAGCGCACGUAGGCGGACAUUUAAGUCAGGGGUGAAAUCCCGGGGCUCAACCCCGGAACUGCCUUUGAUACUGGGUGUCUAGAGUAUGGAAGAGGUGAGUGGAAUUCCGAGUGUAGAGGUGAAAUUCGUAGAUAUUCGGAGGAACAUCAGUGGCGAAGGCGGCCAUCUGGGACAACACUGACGCUGAGGCACGAAAGCGUGGGGAGCAAACAGGAUUAGAUACCCCGGUAGUCCCUGUCUCUUAUAA
rnacentral:rRNA from 1 species